rfam:Neotoma lepida isolate 417 scaffold_1807, whole genome shotgun sequence.
GGGUGGCUCAGAGGUUAAGAGCACUGACUGUUCUUCCAGAGGUCCUGAGUUCAAUUCUCAGCAACCA